UACAGAGGGUGCAAGCGUUAAUCGGAAUUACUGGGCGUAAAGCGCGCGUAGGUGGUUUGUUAAGUUGGAUGUGAAAUCCCCGGGCUCAACCUGGGAACUGCAUCCAAAACUGGCAAGCUAGAGUAGGGCAGAGGGUGGUGGAAUUUCCUGUGUAGCGGUGAAAUGCGUAGAGAUCGGAAAGAACACCAACGGCGAAAGCAACUCUGCUGGGCCGACACUGACACUGAGAGACGAAAGCUAGGGGAGCGAAUGGG
rnacentral:rRNA from 1 species